UGGGGAAUUUUGGACAAUGGGCGAAAGCCUGAUCCAGCAAUGCCGCGUGUGUGAAGAAGGCCUUCGGGUUGUAAGGCACUUUUGUCCGGAAAGAAAUCCUUGGCUCUAAUACAGUCGGGGGAUGACGGUACCGGAAGAAUAAGCACCGGCUAACUACGUGCCAGCAGCCGCGGUAAUACGUAGGGUGCAAGCGUUAAUCGGAAUUACUGGGCGUAAAGCGUGCGCAGGCGGUUUGCUAAGACCGAUGUGAAAUCCCCGGGCUCAACCUGGGAACUGCAUUGGUGACUGGCAGGCUAGAGUAUGGCAGAGGGGGGUAGAAUUCCACGUGUAGCAGUGAAAUGCGUAGAGAUGUGGAGGAAUACCGAUGGCGAAGGCAGCCCCCUGGGCCAAUACUGACGCUCAUGCACGAAAGCGUGGGGAGCAAACAGGAUUAGAUACCCUGGUAGUCCACGCCCUAAACGAUGUCAACUAGUUGUUGGGGAUUCAUUUCCUUAGUAACGUAGCUAACGCGUGAAGUUGACCGCCUGGGGAGUACGGUCGCAAGAUUAAAACUCAAAGGAAUUGACGGGG
rnacentral:rRNA from 1 species